rnacentral:rRNA from 1 species
UACGAAGGGGGCUAGCGUUGUUCGGAAUUACUGGGCGUAAAGCGCACGUAGGCGGACUGUUAAGUCAGGGGUGAAAUCCCGGGGCUCAACCCCGGAACUGCCUUUGAUACUGGCGGUCUCGAGUCCGGAAGAGGUUAGUGGAAUUCCCAGUGUAGAGGUGAAAUUCGUAGAUAUUGGGAAGAACACCAGUGGCGAAGGCGGCUAACUGGUCCGGUACUGACGCUGAGGUGCGAGAGCGUGGGGAGCAAACAGG